rnacentral:lncRNA from 1 species
GGCCUUGCUCUUAUGUCAUCUGACUAAAGGUUUCAUAGACCAAAAAUAACCAUCCAACCUGUUGGAAUACUGAAACAAUUGCUGCCUGCUUUCCACACACUACAUAAAAUAUGUGGAUAUCCUAAAUUCUACAAAAAAAGAUUUGUAAGCAAAUCAAGCAAUACUGGGACUCCCUCUUCUCCAGAAGAGACAUCCUGGCCUCCAUGCAGAGGAAUGUGUGGAUAGACAUAUAUUUAAGGAAUACACUAAACCAGAAAAUACUACAUUACACCCUCUUAAAAGACUUCUAAGAUUGUUGUCAUGCCUACCACUGACAUUCAGAUGAUGUGUAUUCUUGAUUGUGAUUUCAUGUUUGGAGCUGAUGAAGGAGUUUGAAGUCUCCAGAGCAGCAAGGAGAGUGGGGAGUAGAACUCAUCAUCUUUAGGUCACUCAUCACCG